rnacentral:rRNA from 1 species
CACGUAGGGCGCGAGCGUUGUCCGGAAUUAUUGGGCGUAAAGAGCUCGUAGGCGGCCUGUUGCGUCCGCUGUGAAAGCCCGGGGCUUAACCCCGGGUCGGCAGUGGAUACGGGCAGGCUAGAGGUAGGUAGGGGAGAAUGGAAUUCCCGGUGUAGCGGUGAAAUGCGCAGAUAUCGGGAGGAACACCGGUGGCGAAGGCGGUUCUCUGGGCCUUACCUGACGCUGAGGCGCGAAGGCAUGGGGAGCGAACGGG